UACGUAGGGUGCAAGCAUUAUCCGGAGUGACUGGGCGUAAAGAGUUGCGUAGGUGGUUACAUAAGCGAAUAGUGAAAUCUGUCGGCUCAACCGACAGGCUAUUAUUCGAACUGUGUAACUCGAGAAUGGUAGAGGUAACUGGAAUUUCUAGUGUAGGAGUGAAAUCCGUAGAUAUUAGAAGGAACACCAAUGGCGUAGGCAGGUUACUGGACCAUUUCUGACACUGAGGCACGAAAGCGUGGGGAGCGAACCGG
rnacentral:rRNA from 1 species